GACUACUGGGGUAUCUAAGCCUGUUCGCUCCCCACACUUUCGCUCCUCAGCGUCAGGUAAUGCCCAGAGAACCGCCUUCGCCACCGGUGUUCCUCCUGAUAUCUGCGCAUUUCACCGCUACACCAGGAAUUCCGUUCUCCCCUGCAUACCUCCAGUCUGCCCGUAUCAAAAGCAAGCACACAGUUAAGCUGUGUGUUUUCACUCCCGACGCGACAAACCGCCUACGAGCCCUUUACGCCCAAUAAUUCCGGACAACGCUCGCACCCUACGUAUUACCGCGGCUGCUGGCACGUAGUUGGCCGGUGCUUCUUCUCCCACUACCGUCACUUGCGCUUCGUCAUGGGUGAAAGAGGUUUACAACCCGAAGGCCGUCAUCCCUCACGCGGCGUUGCUGGAUCAGGCUUCCGCCCAUUGUCCAAUAUUCCCCACUGCAGCCGCCCGUAGG
rnacentral:rRNA from 1 species